rnacentral:rRNA from 1 species
UACGUAGGGUGCAAGCGUUGUCCGGAAUUAUUGGGCGUAAAGAGCUCGUAGGCGGUCUGUCGCGUCGGCUGUGAAAACUCGGGGCUCAACCCCGAGCCUGCAGUCGAUACGGCAGACUAGAGUGCGUGUAGGGGAGACUGGAAUUCCUGGGUGUAGCGGUGAAAUGCGCAGAUAUCGAGGAGACACCGGUGCGAAGGCGGGUCUCUGGGGCA